rnacentral:lncRNA from 1 species
GCUGUGCCGACGCCCAGGACGGGGAGCUGGACGGGCUCUGGACCACCAUCUCCAUCUUCAUCACGCUCUUCCUGCUCAGCGUGUGCUACAGCGCCACCGUGACGCUCUUCAAGGUGAAGUGGAUCUUCUCGUCGGUGGUGGAGCUGAAGCGGACCAUUGUCCCCGACUACAGAAACAUGAUCGGGCAGGGGGCCUAGGGCGCCCUCCAGGGCAGCCAGGGCCGCCCCAGACCCGACAGGACCGCGUCCGUCAGCUCAAGCUGCUCCGCCUGCGCCAGGCCUGCCUCCGCCCUCUGACCUCGCCCACCUCUGGCUCUCGGCCACCUCGCCCGCACCUCUGCCCUUGGGCAUCGCGGCCCCCUCAGAAGGCGCCCCGCACCCCCACCGCCCCUCGGAAGCCCGAGUGGGCAGCAGCUCGGGCCCCGACCUGACUUGAUGGACACCCACCACCACCAGCCCCCGCCAGAGCCACGGGACACCGCCGGGGCCACGUGUCCUCACCAGGAACGCCCGGCUCAGCCAGCAGGUCCAGCCGGCCACGAGGAGACCGGCGUCCAGCGGCUGACGGGACAGGGCCCGGGCUCCCUGUGGACCCCGUCCAGACCGGGCUCCAGAGGCAGAGUCCCCGAGAGGAGGCUCCUGUGUCACAGCCUGGAGUGGGAACAGCUGCCCCCAACGCCAGCAUCUCCCAGCAGGGAAGUUCCCAGACGGGCCACCAACAGGCGCUCAGGUCACCUCCAGCCCAGGGCACUCGAGGGAGGAGGACCUGGGCCCGAGGCCACGGCAGGAGCCCCGGUGGGGACAGAGCGGCCCUGCCCAGGGAGGCCGUGAGGUGCCGCCAGACCGGCCUCCUGGAGGGGGUCCCGCUGACUCGGACCCCCGCAGGCAGGAUGGGCCCUCACUGGAUGCAGGCGGGGGUGGAGGGGCCACCCAGGGUACAGGGAAGCCAGCCCACCCCGAGGUCCGCGGCCUGAGUCACGUCUAUCGGACCAUCCGUCCAUCCAGCAGGAGAUCCUUCUGCCUGCCCCGGGGCCUGGGUGAGAGGUGAAGAACCCCCAGGAGCGAGCCCCAGGCCCCGGACCCCCAAGGCCGCCCCAGAACGGACUCUCCCGCCCUGUCUCUGCGGGAACCCCAAGUGGGUUCACGGCAUCCGGGGAGCAGCCUCGGGACUGGGAGGGAAGGCUCGUCUGCCGAGCUGUGGUCGCUCUUUCUCCUUGGUGAGUGUCUGGAGCCCAGGCACUCUCCUCACUGUUGCUCUCAUUUUUCACAGCAAUAAACCACUUUUACAACCCC